AUGGCUCAGAACGAACGCUGGCGGCGCGUCUUAAGCAUGCAAGUCGAACGGCAUGAGGAAGCUUGCUUCCUCAGAGAGUGGCGGACUGGUGAGUAACACGUGGGUGACCUACCCUUGAGAUGGGGAUAGCCGUUAGAAAUAGCGGAUAAUACCGAAUACGCUCUACGGACUCUGGUUUGUAGAGGAAACAGGCUACGGCCUGGCUCGAGGAUGGGCCCGCGUCCCAUUAGCUAGUUGGUGAGGUAAGAGCCCACCAAGGCGACGAUGGGUAUCCGGCCUGAGAGGGUGUACGGACACAUUGGGACUGAGAUACGGCCCAAACUCCUACGGGAGGCAGCAGCUAAGAAUAUUCCGCAAUGGACGAAAGUCUGACGGAGCGACGCCGCGUGGAUGACGAAGGCCGAAAGGUUGUAAAAUCCUUUUGCUGAUGAAGAAUAAGCGUGGUAGGGAAUGACCGCGUGAUGACAUUAGUCGGUGAAUAAGCCCCGGCUAACUACGUGCCAGCCGCAGC
rnacentral:rRNA from 1 species